UACGUAGGGUGCAAGCGUUGUCCGGAAUUAUUGGGCGUAAAGAGCUCGUAGGUGGCCUGUCGCGUCGGCUGUGAAAACUCGGGGCUCAACUCCGAGCUUGCGGUCGAUACGGGCAGGCUAGAGUUCGGCAGGGGAGACUGGAAUUCCUGGUGUAGCGGUGAAAUGCGCAGAUAUCAGGAGGAACACCGGUGGCGAAGGCGGGUCUCUGGGCCGAUACUGACACUGAGGAGCGAAAGCGUGGGGAGCGAACAGG
rnacentral:rRNA from 1 species